CAGCAGCCGCGGGAAAACGUAGGUGGCAAGCGUUGUCCGGAAUUAUUGGGCGUAAAGGGCUCGCAGGCGGUUGUGUAAGACAGGUGUGAAAUCCCCGGGCUUAACCUGGGAACUGCGCUUGCGACUGCACAGCUAGAGUAUGGCAGAGGGGGGUGGAAUUCCACGUGUAGCAGUGAAAUGCGUAGAGAUGUGGAGGAAUACCGAUGGCGAAGGCAGCCCCCUGGGCCAAUACUGACGCUCAUGCACGAAAGCGUGGGGAGCAAACAGGAUUAGAUACCCCUGUAGUCCCUGUCUCUUAUAC
rnacentral:rRNA from 1 species